rnacentral:rRNA from 1 species
UUAGAGUUUGAUCCUGGCUCAGGACGAACGCUGGCGGCGCGCCUAACACAUGCAAGUCGAACGGAGCUUAGAGAGCUUGCUUUUUAAGCUUAGUGGCGAACGGGUGAGUAACGCGUGAGUAACCUGCCCUAGAGUGGGGGACAACAGUUGGAAACGACUGCUAAUACCGCAUAAGCCCACGGUGCCGCAUGACACUGAGGGAAAAGGAUUUAUUCGCUUUAGGAUGGACUCGCGUCCAAUUAGCUAGUUGGUGAGGUAACGGCCCACCAAGGCGACGAUUGGUAGCCGGACUGAGAGGUUGAACGGCCACAUUGGGACUGAGACACGGCCCAGACUCCUACGGGAGGCAGCAGUGGGGGAUAUUGCACAAUGGGGGAAACCCUGAUGCAGCGACGCCGCGUGGAGGAAGAAGGUUUUCGGAUUGUAAACUCCUGUCGUUAGGGACGAUAAUGACGGUACCUAACAAGAAAGCACCGGCUAACUACGUGCCAGCAGCCGCGGUAAAACGUAGGGUGCAAGCGUUGUCCGGAAUUACUGGGUGUAAAGGGAGCGCAGGCGGGAAGACAAGUUGGAAGUGAAAACCAUGGGCUCAACCCAUGAAUUGCUUUCAAAACUGUUUUUCUUGAGUAGUGCAGAGGGUAGAUGGAAUUCCCGGUGUAGCGGUGGAAUGCGUAGAUAUCGGGAGGAACACCAGUGGCGAAGGCGGUCUACUGGGCACCAACUGACGCUGAGGCUCGAAAGCAUGGGUAGCAAACAGGAUUAGAUACCCUGGUAGUCCAUGCCGUAAACGAUGAUUACUAGGUGUUGGGGGAUUGACCCCCUCAGUGCCGCAGUUAACACAAUAAGUAAUCCACCUGGGGAGUACGACCGCAAGGUUGAAACUCAAAGGAAUUGACGGGGGCCCGCACAAGCAGUGGAGUAUGUGGUUUAAUUCGAAGCAACGCGAAGAACCUUACCAGGUCUUGACAUCCGAUGCAUAACACAGAGAUGUGUGAAAUCCUUCGGGACAUCGAGACAGGUGGUGCAUGGUUGUCGUCAGCUCGUGUCGUGAGAUGUUGGGUUAAGUCCCGCAACGAGCGCAACCCUUAUUGCCAGUUACUACGUUAAGAGGACUCUGGCGAGACUGCCGUUGACAAAACGGAGGAAGGUGGGGAUGACGUCAAAUCAUCAUGCCCUUUAUGACCUGGGCUACACACGUACUACAAUGGCGUUAAACAAAGAGAAGCAAGACCGCGAGGUGGAGCAAAACUCAAAAACAACGUCUCAGUUCAGAUUGCAGGCUGCAACUCGCCUGCAUGAAGUCGGAAUUGCUAGUAAUCGCGGAUCAGCAUGCCGCGGUGAAUACGUUCCCGGGCCUUGUACACACCGCCCGUCA